UACAGAGGUCUCAAGCGUUGUUCGGAUUCAUUGGGCGUAAAGGGUGCGUAGGCGGCGCCGUAAGUCGGGUGUGAAAUUUCGGAGCUUAACUCCGAAACUGCAUUCGAUACUGCGGUGCUUGAGGACUGGAGAGGAGACUGGAAUUCAUGGUGUAGCAGUGAAAUGCGUAGAGAUCAUGAGGAAGACCAGUGGCGAAGGCGGGUCUCUGGACAGUUCCUGACGCUGAGACACGAAGGCCAGGGGAGCAAACGGG
rnacentral:rRNA from 1 species